UGCCAGACUCCUACGGGAGGCAGCAGUGGGGGAUAUUGCACAAUGGGGGGAACCCUGAUGCAGCGACGCCGCGUGGGUGAAGGAGCGUUUCGGCGCGUAAAGCCCUAUCGGCAGGGAAGAAGGAGGACGGUACCUGACUAAGAAGCCCCGGCUAACUCCGUGCCAGCAGCCGCGGUAAUACGGAGGAUGCGAGCGUUAUCCGGAUUUAUUGGGUUUAAAGGGUGCGUAGGCGGACUGGAAAGUCAGCGGUAAAAUCGAGAGGCUCAACCUCUUUCCGCCGUUGAAACUGUCGGUCUUGAGUGGGCGAGAAGUAUGCGGAAUGCGUGGUGUAGCGGUGAAAUGCAUAGAUAUCACGCAGAACCCCGAUUGCGAAGGCAGCAUACCGGUGCACAACUGACGCUCAGGCACGAAAGCGUGGGUAUCGAACAGGAUUAGAUACCCGGGUA
rnacentral:rRNA from 1 species